AUCAGCCGGAUGCUUUUCACGCGGAAGGCAAAAUCGAGAACCCUAAAGCCGCCGCCCACACAUCCCCAAGGAAUAAAACCUCAAGGCCGCGGCUGACAUCCCUCCCCAGCUUACACCUAGCCGCCGCCGCCGACGACGAAAUCCACCCAAGCCGCCGAGCUCGUCUCGCCGUCGUCGCGCUCUAGGCUUUUGGGAUGGAGGCCGAGACGGCGGCGAAGAGGGCGCGGGAGAACGAGGGCGCUGCGGCGGCGGACGGAGCCGGGGAGCAGGCGGGGGUCUCCGCCGUCAUCCCCGGAUGGUUCUCCGAGAUCAGCCCCAUGUGGCCCGGCGAGGCGCACUCGCUCAAGGUGGAGAAGGUCCUGUUCCAAGGCAAGUCGGACUACCAAGACGUGCUGGUUUUCCAGUCCUCCACCUACGGGAAGGUGCUCGUCCUGGAUGGGGUGAUCCAGGUGACCGAGAGGGAUGAGUGCGCCUACCAGGAGAUGAUCACCCACCUCCCUCUCUGCUCAAUCAAAGACCCCAAGAAGGUCCUGGUCAUCGGGGGCGGAGACGGCGGCGUUCUGCGCGAGGUCUCGCGGCACUCCUCGGUGGAGCAGAUCGACAUCUGCGAGAUCGACAAGAUGGUGGUCGAUGUGUCGAAGCAGUUCUUCCCUCACCUGGCCCUCGGGUUCGAGGACCCUCGCGUGUCCCUGCACAUCGGCGACGGCGUCGCCUUCCUGAAGAAUGCUCCAGAGGGCACCUAUGAUGCAGUGAUCGUCGAUUCCUCCGACCCAGUAGGCCCUGCCCAGGAGCUGUUCGAGAAGCCGUUCUUCGAGUCCGUCUCCAGGGCUCUGCGUCCGGGCGGGGUCGUCUGCACCCAGGCGGAGAGCAUAUGGCUGCACAUGCACAUCAUAGAGGACAUUGUCACCAACUGUCGCCAGGUUUUCAAAGGCUCGGUGAACUACGCAUGGACUACGGUGCCCACAUACCCAAGCGGAGUGAUAGGUUUCAUGCUCUGCUCCACGGAGGGACCUAGUGUUGAUUUCCAGCAUCCCGUCUUCAGCAUCGAGGAGGACGAAUACUCCACAAAAUCAAAGGGGCCGCUCAAGUUCUACAAUUCCGAGUUCCACACCGCAUCGUUUUGUUUGCCAUCAUUUGCGAGGAGGGUCAUUGAGGCCAAGGCUAACUAGAUUCUUAUGAAGAUGGUCACUGAAACCAAGGCCAACUAGAAGAGCUGGUUUGGUUUCAAUUUCAACACUGGGAGAAAUCUGUCUUAGCGUAGACAGAGGAAAAGCCCCCUUUUUUAUUAACUUGCAAUAAGCCCACAUGGAAAUUAUUGGUACCUGUGAUUCUGUCUGCUGUAUGUCUCAGCUUGUAUUUCCUGGCUACCUGGUGGUAUGAGAACCUUCUGAAUUUAGUCUUUUGCCCUGCAGUUUUCCUUUCUUAUCUUAUGCUUCCUCUGUAUCAAAAUGUAAGACAUGUUUUUACUGCGUUUAGGGGGGCAGGGGUGACAGUUCCUGUCAUGGCAGUUCGUUCGGAUUUUUGGAAUAAGACCCUGCCUUGUGGACAGAACACGGUUGGAUUAAAUUGGUUACAUUUUUGGAAUAAGACCCUGCCUUGUGGACACAACACGGUUGGAUUUUUGUAUCAGAGGAAGACUUGUUAAUUAUAUAUGCUUGUGUGAUGUCUUAAUAAGAUAUCCCCAACUACU
rnacentral:rRNA from 1 species